AGCUGGUGGGGCAGAGCCCCAGCGCCCCCUAUGGACCAGCCGCCUCUGUGGAAUUCUCGAUUGCCUUGUUCAAGGCACUCCCUACACUCUUUCCUUCACUAGCUGCAUCGCCUAAGAAAUUGGGACAUGCCAGUGAGGCAUUGAUACAUGUUCUUCAGCCUACAGAAGAUGCCGCCCUCUACCUCCAGAAGAGAUCUCUGUCCAGCCCUGUCUUACUUGUUGAUGACUCCAACUGCCUUGUCGCCAUAGGAACCACUCGCAUCACUACAUUUGCCAAGCAAGACCUGCAUGAGGGUUUGCUAUAUCUAAUGGCCUAUUACUACACAAUACAUCUCACUUAUCCGAAGUGUGUUGCAACCAUCCUUUCUGUUAUUCAAACAGAAAUAUUGAAGGACACUAUCCAUGACCGAGACGCCACAGCCUCAUACAAAAAAGCCUUGGCUGAGUGGAAAGCUUUUAUUGGGGAGUAGAUCUUGGUGGUAGUUAGGUUCCCAACCUGUUUCUACAAUGCUCACCUGCGAUGUCUGUCGAGGUUGGGAGAGAAUAACAUCCCAGAAAACAACUCAUGUACAAAAACAAAGUUGCAAUAAUUCUUCAUUUUUGGUUAUCUAACACAAAGUAAUGUUGAGUGGUUUUCAAUGUUAUAAUUUAAGUUUAAAAUGAUCGUCAUGGUUAAUUCAUACGUUUUGUAAAAUGCAUGCUAUU